ACAGCAGCAGCCGCGGUAAUACGUAGGUGGCAAGCGUUGUCCGGAAUUAUUGGGCGUAAAGGGCUCGCAGGCGGUUUCUUAAGUCUGAUGUGAAAGCCCCCGGCUCAACCGGGGAGGGUCAUUGGAAACUGGGAAACUUGAGUGCAGAAGAGGAGAGUGGAAUUCCACGUGUAGCGGUGAAAUGCGUAGAGAUGUGGAGGAACACCAGUGGCGAAGGCGACUCUCUGGUCUGUAACUGACGUUGAGGAGCGAAAGCGUGGGGAGCGAACAGGAUUAGAUACCCGUGUAGUCCCUGUCUCUUAUAC
rnacentral:rRNA from 1 species